UCGCACGAAGGUUUCGGCCUUAGUGGCGGACGGGUGAGUAACGCGUAGGGAUCUAUCCACGGGUGGGGGACAACUUCGGGAAACUGGAGCUAAUACCGCAUGAUACCUGAGGGUCAAAGGCGCAAGUCGCCUGUGGAGGAACCUGCGUUCGAUUAGCUAGUUGGUGGGGUAAAGGCCUACCAAGGCGAUGAUCGAUAGCUGGUUUGAGAGGAUGAUCAGCCACACUGGGACUGAGACACGGCCCAGACUCCUACGGGAGGCAGCAGUGGGGAAUAUUGGACAAUGGGCGAAAGCCUGAUCCAGCAAUGCCGCGUGUGUGAAGAAGGUCUUCGGAUUGUAAAGCACUUUCGACGGGGACGAUGAUGACGGUACCCGUAGAAGAAGCCCCGGCUAACUUCGUGCCAGCAGCCGCGGUAAUACGAAGGGGGCUAGCGUUGCUCGGAAUGACUGGGCGUAAAGGGCGCGUAGGCGGUUUAGACAGUCAGAUGUGAAAUCCCCGGGCUUAACCUGGGAACUGCAUUUGAUACGUCUAGACUAGAGUUCGAGAGAGGGUUGUGGAAUUCCCAGUGUAGCGGUG
rnacentral:rRNA from 1 species